UUAAAGCUUCGGCUUGGCGGAAGGCUCAGUAACACGUCAGUAAUCUGCCCUUAGGUAUGGAAUAACUUCGCGAAAGUGAGGAUAAUACCAUAUAUUUGACACAUGCUGGAAUGCAGUGUCAUUUAAAGCUUCGGCGCCUAAGGAUGAGCUGGCGGCAGAUUAGCUUGUUGGUGGUGUAACGGACCACCAAGGCUACGAUCUGUAGGGGGAGUGAGAGCUCGAGCCCCGAGAAGGACACUGAGACAAGGGUCCUAGUUCUACGGAAUGCAGCAGACGCGAAUCCUCUACAAUGCACGUAAGUGUGAUAGGGGGACCCUUCGUGCUAGCGCUUUGCGUUAGCUUUUUUAGAGUGUAAGAUGCUCUGAGAAUAAGGGGUGGGCAAGACCGGUGCCAGCCGCCGCGGUAACCCCGGCGCCCCGAGUGGUGGUCGAUACUGGGUUUAAAGGGUCCGUAGCCGGUUAAUUAAGUUCUUAGUGAAAUCUAGUGGCUCAACCAUUAGGAGAGCUAGGGGUACUGAUUGACUUGAGACCGGGAGAAGUUGGAGGAAUGCUGUGGGGAGCGGUAAAAUGUUGUAAUCCACGGUGGACCAUCAGUGGCGAAGGCGCCCAACUAGAACGGGUCUGACGGUGAGGGACGAAAGCUAGGGGAGCAAACCGGAUUAGAUACCCGGGUAGUCCUAGCUGUAAACGCUGCCUGUUAGGCAUUGUGCGUUCUUCGAGAGCGUGCAGUACCGUAGCGAAAGUGUUAAACAGGCCACCUGGGAAGUACGGUCGCAAGGCUGAAACUUAAAGGAAUAGGCGGGGGAGCACUACAAGGGGUGCAUUUUGCGGUUUAAUUGGAUUCAACGCCAGAAACCUUACCAGCGGCGACAGCAGAAUGAAGGUCUGUCUAAAUGGCAUACUCGACACGCUGAGCGGUGUUGCAUGGCCGUCGUCAGCUCGUGCCGUGAGGUGUUCGGUUAAGUCCGAGAACGAGCAAGACCUGCGUCUUCAGUUGCUAUCGGUUUUUUUAGAAGCCGAGCACAAUGGAGAGACUGCACGCGUAAGUGUGAGGAAGGUGCAGGCCACGGUAGGUCCGUACGACCCUAAUCCGCUGGGCUACACGCGAGAUGCAAUGGUUGGCACAACGGGACGCAACUCCGAAAGGAGAAGCUAAUCCCUUAAAGCUAAUCUUGUCUGAAUUGAGGGCUGCAACUCGCCCUCAUGAAAUCGAAAUCCCUAGUAAACGCAUGUUAGCACCGUGCGUUGAAUACGUCCCUGUUCCUUGCACUCACUGCCUGUCUACUCAUCCAAGUGAGGUUUGGGUGAGGCUUUGUCUUUGGCAGAGUCGAACUUGAACUUCGUGAGGCGGAGUAAGUCAACACAAGGU
rnacentral:rRNA from 1 species